AGCGUGGAGACAGGUGGUGCAUGGCUGUCGUCAGCUCGUGUCGUGAGAUGUUGGGUUGAGUCCCGCAACGAGCGCAACCCUCACCCCUUGUUGCCAUCAGGUCACGCUGGGCACUCUAGGGGAACUGCCCCGGUCAACGGGGAGGAAGGUGGGGAUGACGUCAAGUCAUCAUGCCCCUUACGUCCUGGGCUACACACGUGCUACAAUGGCCGGUACAAAGGGAUGCAAGACUGCGAGGUGGAGCUAAACCCAAAAAGCCGGCCUAAGUUCAGAUUGGAGUCUGCAACUCGACUCCAUGAAGGAGGAAUCGCUAGUAAUCGCGCAUCAGCACGGCGCGGUGAAUACGUUCCCGGGCCUUGUACACACCGCCCGUCACACCACGAAAGCCAGCUGUACUCGAAGUCGCUGAG
rnacentral:rRNA from 1 species